rnacentral:rRNA from 1 species
GACGAACGCUGGCGGCGUGCUUAACACAUGCAAGUCGAACGGAAAGGCCCUGCUUUUGUGGGGUGCUCGAGUGGCGAACGGGUGAGUAACACGUGAGUAACCUGCCCUUGACUUUGGGAUAACUUCAGGAAACAGGGGCUAAUACCGGAUAGGAGCUCCUGCUGCAUGGGGGGGGUUGGAAAGUUUCGGCGGUUGGGGAUGGACUCGCGGCUUAUCAGCUUGUUGGUGGGGUAGUGGAGUACCAAGGCUUUGACGGCUAGCCGGCCUGAGAGGUUGACCGGCGACAUGGGGACUGAGAGACGGCCCAGACGCCUACGGGAGGCAGCAGUGGGGAACAUUACACAAUGGGGCGAAGCCAGAGGCAGCAGCGCCGCGUGCGGAAUGACGGCCUUCGGGUUGUAAACCGCUUUCGCCUGUGACGAAGCGUGAGUGACGGUAAUGGGUAAAGAAGCACCGGCUAACUACGUG